AGCUUGCUACCUGACCUAGCGGCGGACGGGUGAGUAAUGCUUAGGAAUCUGCCUAUUAGUGGGGGACAACAUUCCGAAAGGAAUGCUAAUACCGCAUACGCCCUACGGGGGAAAGCAGGGGAUCUUCGGACCUUGCGCUAAUAGAUGAGCCUAAGUCAGAUUAGCUAGUUGGCGGGGUAAAGGCCUACCAAGGCGACGAUCUGUAGCGGGUCUGAGAGGAUGAUCCGCCACACUGGGACUGAGACACGGCCCAGACUCCUACGGGAGGCAGCAGUGGGGAAUAUUGGACAAUGGGCGAAAGCCUGAUCCAGCCAUGCCGCGUGUGUGAAGAAGGCCUUUUGGUUGUAAAGCACUUUAAGCGAGGAGGAGGCUACUUGGAUUAAUACUCUAGGAUAGUGGACGUUACUCGCAGAAUAAGCACCGGCUAACUCUGUGCCAGCAGCCGCGGUAAUACAGAGGGUGCGAGCGUUAAUCGGAUUUACUGGGCGUAAAGCGUGCGUAGGCGGCUUCUUAAGUCGGAUGUGAAAUCCCUGAGCUUAACUUAGGAAUUGCAUUCGAUACUGGGAAGCUAGAGUAUGGGAGAGGAUGGUAGAAUUCCAGGUGUAGCGGUGAAAUGCGUAGAGAUCUGGAGGAAUACCGAUGGCGAAGGCAGCCAUCUGGCCUAAUACUGACGCUGAGGUACGAAAGCAUGGGGAGCAAACAGGAUUAGAUACCCUGGUAGUCCAUGCCGUAAACGAUGUCUACUAGCCGUUGGGGCCUUUGAGGCUUUAGUGGCGCAGCUAACGCGAUAAGUAGACCGCCUGGGGAGUACGGUCGCAAGACUAAAACUCAAAUGAAUUGACGGGGGCCCGCACAAGCGGUGGAGCAUGUGGUUUAAUUCGAUGCAACGCGAAGAACCUUACCUGGUCUUGACAUAGUAAGAACUUUCCAGAGAUGGAUUGGUGCCUUCGGGAACUUACAUACAGGUGCUGCAUGGCUGUCGUCAGCUCGUGUCGUGAGAUGUUGGGUUAAGUCCCGCAACGAGCGCAACCCUUUUCCUUAUUUGCCAGCGAGUAAUGUCGGGAACUUUAAGGAUACUGCCAGUGACAAACUGGAGGAAGGCGGGGACGACGUCAAGUCAUCAUGGCCCUUACGACCAGGGCUACACACGUGCUACAAUGGUCGGUACAAAGGGUUGCUACCUAGCGAUAGGAUGCUAAUCUCAAAAAGCCGAUCGUAGUCCGGAUUGGAGUCUGCAACUCGACUCCAUGAA
rnacentral:rRNA from 1 species